AUGGCAUCAUUCAUAUCUAUGUUGGGCACUGUGAUUUUGAGGAAGUAUAUAUACAUAUAUCAUCAGUAUGGAUACAUGUUAGCAACCAUGCUUUUCCUUCUAGCCUCCGCCUGGCAAUUUUCCACCGUUAUUUUCCCGCAAACUACGGCGGUUUCCGGUAGGUUUUCACCAAUAACUUCAAUGAUAUCCAUGGGGAGACCAGAUCGCUAG